UACGUAGGGACCAAGCGUUGUUCGGAUUUACUGGGCGUAAAGGGCGCGUAGGCGGCGCGUUAAGUCAGUUGUGAAAUCUCCAAGCUUAACUUGGAACGGUCAACUGAUACUGGUGUGCUAGAGUGCAGAAGGGGCAAGCGGAAUUCUUGGUGUAGCGGUGAAAUGCGUAGAUAUCAAGAGGAACACCUGAGGUGAAGACGGGUUGCUGGGCUGACACUGACGCUGAGGCGCGAAAGCUAGGGUAGCAAACGGG
rnacentral:rRNA from 1 species